rnacentral:tRNA from 1 species
CUCCCUGUGGCUCAGUUGGUAGAGCAUGGUGUGUGCAAUGCCAGGGUUGUGGGUUCGAUUCCCACAGGGGGGC